rnacentral:tRNA from 1 species
CCCUGUGUGGUGCAAAUGGUUAACACAUUUGGCUGCUCACCAAAAGGUUGGAGGUUAAAGUCCACCCAGAGGCA